UGGGGAAUCUUGCACAAUGGGGGCAACCCUGAUGCAGCGACGCCGCGUGAGCGAUGAAGCCCUUCGGGGCGUAAAGCUCUUUCGACCGGAACGAUAAUGACGGUACCGGGGGAAGAAGCUGCGGCUAACUACGUGCCAGCAGCCGCGGUAAUACGUAGGUAGCAAGCGUUGUUCGGAGUUACUGGGCGUAAAGAGUGCGUAGGCGGUUUUCUAAGUUCGGUGUGAAAUCUCCCGGCUUAACUGGGAGGGUGCGCCGAAGACUGGGAAGCUGGAGUGUGGGAAAGGCAGGCGGAAUUCCUGGUGUAGCGGUGAAAUGCGUAGAUAUCAGGAGGAACACCGGCGGUGUAGACGGCUUGCUAGACCAUAACUGACGCUGAGGCACGAAAGCGUGGGUAGCAAACA
rnacentral:rRNA from 1 species